AGAGUUUGAUCAUGGCUCAGAGUGAACGCUGGCGGCAGGCCUAUUAUAUGCAAGUCGAACGGCAGCACAGCAGAGCUUGCUCUGUGGGUGGCGAGUGGCGGACGGGUGAGGAAUACGUGGGAAUCUGCCCAGUCGUGGGGGAUAACGUAGGGAAACUUACGCUAAUACCGCAUGCGCCCUUCGGGGGAAAGCCGGGGACCUUCGGGCCUGGCGCGAUUGGAUGAGCCCACGUCGGAUUAGCUAGUUGGCGGGGUAAAGGCCCACCAAGGCGACGAUCCGUAGCUGGUCUGAGAGGAUGAUCAGCCACACUGGAACUGAGACACGGUCCAGACUCCUACGGGAGGCAGCAGUAGGGAAUAUUGGACAAUGGGCGCAAGCCUGAUCCAGCCAUGCCGCGUGAGUGAAGAAGGCGCUCGGGUUGUAAAGCUCUUUUGUCCGGAAAGAAAAGCGCCGGGUUAAUACCCUGGUGUCCUGACGGUACCGGAAGAAUAAGCACCGGCUAACUUCGUG
rnacentral:rRNA from 1 species